rnacentral:rRNA from 1 species
GUCGAACGAUGAAGCCCAGCUUGCUGGGUGGAUUAGUGGCGAACGGGUGAGUAACACGUGAGUAACCUGCCCUUAACUCUGGGAUAAGCCUGGGAAACUGGGUCUAAUACCGGAUAGGAGCGUCCACCGCAUGGUGGGUGUUGGAAAGAUUUAUCGGUUUUGGAUGGACUCGCGGCCUAUCAGCUUGUUGGUGAGGUAAUGGCUCACCAAGGCGACGACGGGUAGCCGGCCUGAGAGGGUGACCGGCCACACUGGGACUGAAACACGGCCCAGACUCCUACGGGAGGCAGCAGUGGGGAAUAUUGCACAAUGGGCGCAAGCCUGAUGCAGCGACGCCGCGUGAGGGAUGACGGCCUUCGGGUUGUAAACCUCUUUCAGUAGGGAAGAAGCGAAAGUGACGGUACCUGCAGAAGAAGCACCGGCUAACUACGUGCCAGCAGCCGCGGUAAUACGUAGGGUGCGAGCGUUAUCCGGAAUUAUUGGGCGUAAAGAGCUCGUAGGCGGUUUGUCGCGUCUGUCGUGAAAGUCCGGGGCUUAACCCCGGAUCUGCGGUGGGUACGGGCAGACUAGAGUGCAGUAGGGGAGACUGGAAUUCCUGGUGUAGCGGUGGAAUGCGCAGAUAUCAGGAGGAACACCGAUGGCGAAGGCAGGUCUCUGGGCUGUAACUGACGCUGAGGAGCGAAAGCAUGGGGAGCGAACAGGAUUAGAUACCCUGGUAGUCCAUGCCGUAAACGUUGGGCACUAGGUGUGGGGACCAUUCCACGGUUUCCGCGCCGCAGCUAACGCAUUAAGUGCCCCG